AAGAUAAACUUGUGAAAUUGAGUGAAAUGAGGUUCUGCCUAAUGCUGCCUGCUCUGAGGAUGGAGAAACAGAGUCCCGGAUUAGGAAAUGCAAAGACCACAUCUACAGACCACAAAGGUUUCACCUGCUCCAUGUGGACCUGACUGAAAGGUGACAAGAGCUUCCAUGAGGAAUCAAGAGCUCAAAGCCAGCUACACUUGGAAAGGGGGCCUUUCAAGGGAAAUCCCAAAGUUUCCCCAGAUGCCUCUGAAUGAGUUUUUUACCUACCAACUUUUAUCUUGCCUGGAAGACAUCUGAGUUCUGGCGCUGUUGAUUUCACACAGUCUUUUAAAGAUAAACUUGCUGUGCACCAGGAGCAGUGGUUCAAUAAGCACUCACCUCCACCAGCUCUGCUCUCGGUACUUUGCUAGGGCAGCAGCUGGGGGAGCCCCAGCUGACCCCUGUCAAGUGGCCUUUCUUCUUCCUUCUAUGAAAGUGAGUGCUCUUACAACAGGCGUCAUCCGCACAGUUCUUCCUCAGGUUUGACAAAUGUGGUCCUCCACCAAGGAACAACAGUAAAACUUUGCUUCAACUAUAUGGGGGGGGGGUGUGACAAAAUUUCCUUCACAGAUUGUUAGUCAGUGUUGUGUCAGGACUAUUUAUUUUGCAUCUUAGGGAAUUAAAUAAGAAAAUAAAGCUUAAUUCCUAGUAUGAUUAUUUGACUCUUAGAUUAAUAAAAAAAGGAGAGAACCAAACAAAACCAUUUAACUUUGAAAUAUAGUGUUCACAAAGAACAAAGGGCUAACUAUGCAUCCCAACCUCAAGCAUUUUCAAGGAGAACUCUGCUACCUUCCUGCAUUAAAACAAAAUAAAACAAAAAAAGUAAAACAAAGUCUGUUGUCUUGAGAUAAAAGGGCCAUAAACCCCCACGACUUACUCCCUGCUUCAGGCUAAUGACAAAAAUAUUUUUCAUUUUUAGUUCCUAAACUUUUCUUUGAACAGAAAAUGUUUUGAACUAGAUUUUGAGAGGCAAACUCCGUGUUUUUUCAAAAGACAGAGGAGUGAAGAGAAUUAAACAAAACACAAACAAACAAACAUCCAAGUACACAUAAAAUACAUCAACUCCAAAUGCUGAGAGUCUCUCUAGUGUGCUCAGCAACUUCAUGUCUCAGAUUGACACGAUGACAAAGCCUUGAUAAAGCCACCUUAGCCUGCUGCCCUCAAGACCGACUAACAUUGUCUCCUUUGAGUAGUCACAUCACUGAACUGCUACUGGUUUCUGGACUGCAAAUAAAUGAUUUAUUCAUCACAGUGUGA